GACGAACGCGGCGGCGUGCCUAAUACAUGCAAGUAGAACGCACAGUUUAUACCGUAGCUUGCUACACCAUAGACUGUGAGUUGCGAACGGGUGAGUAACGCGUAGGUAACCUGCCUGGUAGCGGGGGAUAACUAUUGGAAACGAUAGCUAAUACCGCAUAAUAUUAAUUAUUGCAUGAUAAUUGAUUAAAAGGUGCAAUUGCACCACUACCAGAUGGACCUGCGUUGUAUUAGCUAGUAGGUGAGGUAACGGCUCACCUAGGCGACGAUACAUAGCCGACCUGAGAGGGUGAUCGGCCACACUGGGACUGAGACACGGCCCAGACUCCUACGGGGGGCAGCAGUAGGGAAUCUUCGGCAAUGGACGAAAGUCUGACCGAGCAACGCCGCGUGAGUGAAGAAGGUUUUCGGAUCGUAAAGCUCUGUUGUAAGAGAAGAACGGGUGUGAGAGUGGAAAGUUCACACUGUGACG
rnacentral:rRNA from 1 species